ensembl:lncRNA
CAACUGUCUUCAGAGCCUGAACACAGCUGAUGAGGCCAGAGGGCUGAUUGACCGACUCAGAAAGCUACUGGCAAGUGGAGGAUUUAACAUCCGGCAGUGGGCUUCAAACCAACCUGGAGUAGUAAGCCAUCUACCUAAGGAAGCUCAGUCUACCAGUACCGAACUGUGGUUGUCACAAAGGGAAACUGAAGUUCCUGAAUCCACUCUGGGUCUGCACUGGCACUGUCCCACAGACACUCUUAGGUACAAGCACCGUCCCUUAGAGUAUGGACUACCCACAAUGCGCAAUUUAUAUCGGGUUCUCGCCAGUCAAUAUGACCCAUUGGGCUUCAUUCUCCCCUACACGACCAGAGCGAAGAUCCUAGUUCAGAAACUGUGGGCUAAGCCGAGAGAAUGGGACGAUCCUCUAUUUCCUGAUGAACUUUUGCAGAGCUGGCUACAGUGGGAGGCUGAACUUAAGUCUCUUUCCUCCAUUACCUUUCCUAGAUGCUAUGUGACUCCAGAAAUGGACAAUGAUUCUGUAGGGAGAGAGAUACAUGUGUUCUGUGAUGCAUCCGAAAGGGCCUAUGGUGCAGUCUCAUACCUGAGAACAGAGAACAGUCAAGGCAAGGUACAGUUAGCAUUCCUAAUCGCACGCUCCCGAGUUGCACCCAAGAAACAGUUGUCAGUUCCCAGACUUGAACUCUGUGCCGCACUCUGUGGAGCUCAGUUAGCAGAGAUGCUAAGGAAAGAACUUACACUUGAAUAUCACAGGAUUACCUUGUGGUCCGAUUCCACCACAGUACUUAAUUGGUUGCAGUCAGAGUCCUGCCGGUUCAAAGUCUUUGUUGGCACCAGGGUUGCAGAGAUACAAGAAACCACAAAUCCACAGGAUUGGAGGUACGUGGACUCUGCUCUGAAUCCUGCGGAUGAUCUAACAAAGGGAAAAUCGCUUGCGGACCUAGCCACUCCAAACAGAUGGAGCAAUGGACCCCCGUUCCUUUUAAUGCACUCUGAUCACUGGCCAAAGAGCCCUGCUGCCAGCUGUCUGAAAGAUGACUCAGAGUUACGCAAGUCAACAUUUUGCGCCCUAAAUGUAGUGACCUCCAAAGCAGAAAUUCCUGAUGCCAGCCAGUCUACAACUUACAGAGAAUUACUGGAAGCUACUGCACGAUGUGUCCAUGGGGUGGCAAAUGGAGAACCACUAACAGCUGGAGACUUCCUACAAGCAGAAAUC